AAGAAAUCCCCGGUUGUCAGAAUCUUGACCCAGGAGACCUUCCAGAGCCUGUGCGUUUACCACUGAAAAAUUAAAUAGAAAUAACGUGCUGUUUAUAGAGGCUUGAAUGAGGUGCAAAACCCACAACAAGUUUAAGCAUAAAUCUCCUGUUAACAUCCUACUUUUUGGAGAGCAUUAGAACCUUUUGUUCUAAGUCCCUUGAUAAAGAAAUGAGCUGCAGCUGCUGUAAGUGACUCAGGCGCAGUAGAAUUUAGCUGUUCUUUCUCAGAUUCUCUGCAGUGAGGGAGAUGAACUUCCUUGGGUUCUAGUGCCUUCUGGAACUCUCUUGUAUAAUUGUUUAGUUAGAUGAGGCUUCCUAUGACAAGAACCGAGAAUAACAGAUGUAGUUAUUCAACAUCCCAUUUGUCCCAAUAACAAAAAGUGGCUGUGUCUGAAAGGUGGAAAGCUGGCACUUGAAGGAAUAAUCCCUGCAAGAGCUCAAAGCAACAAUGGUAGCAACAGGGUAGCUGCAGUUAAGGUUAAUCACCUUCUAACCAACCAAUAUGUUGGAGAUGGCUGCCUGAAAGAUCGGAAGAACUGCUGUUUGCUCCUUGAAAGGGAACUUUCCAAGGAAAAGAAACUUAGCUCAAGGUAAAGAAAAUAUAUGGAUGGAUGCAGGAGAGGAAAAGUACAAUAUACCAGGAGGAGAAGUCUGCUGGGGAGAAGAGGAGAAGUGACUAGUGGACUAAUGCUGUGGUGGUGAAGUGCCUGAAUAGAAUCCUGACUGGCUUGAAGAGUGAAAAAAAAAGUGUUAAAUGUGGUAAAUAAUAUGGAUGAGACUCCUAAGAGAAGUUUGGUCUGCAGUCUAUGCAACAAAUCUAGGGCCCAGCCCUGUGAAGCGCAGAGUGCUCUAAACUCCCAUCAACUUCACUGUUGAGGAGGUGCAACAUCUCAAAGAAGGAGCAGCUCACCACCUUGUACUAUUGAACCAUCAAAUUGCUCAUAUGGACUCUGCUUCUGCUGGUGUCAUAACCAUUCAGCAGUUGUACCUUACUGCUAAAACUGUGCUCCUUCUGAGCCAUCAGAUGAAAGAUGCUGACAAGGAGGUCAGAUGCAUCAUUUUUUCAUAUAGGGCCAUGACUGUUUUCUGAAAAUUUGCAAAAAUGCUUAAAGCAUUUUACUGACAUUUUGCUGAAAUUUUAUUGUAAGAAUUAUCUUCAGGAAGGAUUUCCAAGAGACCCAGCCUUGGUCCCAGUGAGUAUUUUCUGUUACAGAAGUUCAUUUGCUAUUUGUUUCUUUUUCCUGUGUUUUUGUAUUUUUGUUUAAUUCCAUACUAUGUAUAUUAAUGCAGCAUUUUCUGAAACAAAUGGUAGAGAUGUAUUAAUCUCAGUGUUUCUGGUUUGCUUGGAGCCCAAUAAAAUUAGGAGUUAGGCUGUACUUUAGCUCAAAUAUAACAAUAAAUAAAAAAAUUAAUAUACAAGAA